rnacentral:rRNA from 1 species
GGGUUGUGAGGUUAAGCGACUAAGCGUACACGGUGGAUGCCCUGGCAGUCAGAGGCGAUGAAGGACGUGCUAAUCUGCGAUAAGCGUCGGUAAGGUGAUAUGAACCGUUAUAACCGGCGAUUUCCGAAUGGGGAAACCCAGUGUGAUUCGUCACACUAUCAUUAACUGAAUCCAUAGGUUAAUGAGGCGAACCGGGGGAACUGAAACAUCUAAGUACCCCGAGGAAAAGAAAUCAACCGAGAUUCCCCCAGUAGCGGCGAGCGAACGGGGAGCAGCCCAGAGCCUGAAUCAGUGUGUGUGUUAGUGGAAGCGUCUGGAAAGGCGUGCGAUACAGGGUGACAGCCCCGUACACAAAAAUGCACAUACUGUGAGCUCGAUGAGUAGGGCGGGACACGUGGUAUCCUGUCUGAAUAUGGGGGGACCAUCCUCCAAGGCUAAAUACUCCUGACUGACCGAUAGUGAACCAGUACCGUGAGGGAAAGGCGAAAAGAAC